CUGUCGUCAGCUCGUGUUGUGAAAUGUUGGGUUAAGUCCCGCAACGAGCGCAACCCUUAUCCUUUGUUGCCAGCGGUCCGGCCGGGAACUCAAAGGAGACUGCCGGUGAUAAACCGGAGGAAGGUGGGGAUGACGUCAAGUCAUCAUGGCCCUUACGACCAGGGCUACACACGUGCUACAAUGGCGCAUACAAAGAGAAGCGACCUCGCGAGAGCAAGCGGACCUCAUAAAGUGCGUCGUAGUCCGGAUUGGAGUCUGCAACUCGACUCCAUGAAGUCGGAAUCGCUAGUAAUCGUGGAUCAGAAUGCCACGGUGAAUACGUUCCCGGGCCUUGUACACACCGCCCGUCACACCAUGGGAGUGGGUUGCAAAAGAAGUAGGUAGCUUAACCUUCGGGAGGGCGCUUACCACUUUGUGAUUCAUGACUGGGGUGAAGUCGUAACAAGGUAACCGUAGGGGAACCUGCGGUUGGAUCACCUCCUUACCUGAAAGA
rnacentral:rRNA from 1 species